rnacentral:rRNA from 1 species
UACGUAGGGGCGAGCGUUGUCCGGAUUUAUUGGGCGUAAAGAGCGUGUAGGCGGCCAGGUAGGUCUGCUGUGAAAACUCGAGGCUCAACCUCGAGACGUCGGCGGAACACUCGCUAGAGUCCGGAAGAGGAGAGUGGAAUUCCUGGUGUAGCGGUGAAAUGCGCAGAUAUCAGGAGGAACACCGGUGGCGAAGGCGGGUCUCUGGGCAACAACUGACGCUGAGGAGCGAAAGCGUGGGGAGCGAACAGG